rnacentral:rRNA from 1 species
AUUGAACGCUGGCGGCAUGCUUUACACAUGCAAGUCGAACGGUAACAGGGAGCUUGCUCGCUGACGAGUGGCGAACGGGUGAGUAAUGCAUCGGAACGUGCCGUGUAGUGGGGGAUAACGUAGCGAAAGAGUGGCUAAUACCGCAUACAACCUGAGGGUAAAAGUGGGGGACCGCAAGGCCUCACGCUAUAGGAGCGGCCGAUGGAAGAUUAGGUAGUUGGUAGGGUAAAGGCCUACCAAGCCUGCGAUCUGUAGCUGGUCCUUGGAGAGGACGACCAGCCACACUGGAACUGAGACACGGUCCAGACUCCUACGGGAGGCAGCAGUGGGGAAUUUUGGACAAUGGACGCAAGUCUGAUCCAGCCAUGCCGCGUGCGGGAAGAAGGCCUUCGGGUUGUAAACCGCUUUUGUCAGGGAAGAAACGCUCUGGGUUAAUACCUCGGGGUAAUGACGGUACCUGAAGAAUAAGCACCGGCUAACUACGUG